GAUUGUGAUUCAGGGACAACUGUAUGUACGGACUGUUGGUUAUGUUCCAGCAUUUCCCUAAUUAGGACAACUUUUAAUGAACUGACGUUGAAGCAUUUUCUAUUUCUAAUCCUCCACACAGUGAGGAGAAUCCCUUGGGAUGUGUAGCCUGAAUCUAUUGCUUUGUGACGUGCCAUUCAUCAUAACGGCACGUCAAACCUAAUCAAUAAACGCGUUUGGAGGUUGAAAUGUAGAUAUGAUUGGUUCUGCUGCGCCGCUCCACAUGCGCACCUCCCCUCUCUCCUCUCCACUCUCUGGUGCGCUCAGGGGAGCUCAGUCCGAUGGAGACUCCGGAAAGUCUCGCAUUUCCGUGUCAAAUACCCAGCCGGCGUUUGUCAACAUGAACAUUGUCGUCCGUGCUCGGGAUACAAGCUCUCAUCAUUUAUUUCAUUUGCGUUUCAUACAGACACCUGUCAAGUCGUUUGGAUUGCCUUGAUUGGUGGUCAACAUGGGUCGUGAGCGGCUACACGAGAGACGCCACUGAGGCCUUGCUGAAAGACUCGGGAGCGUGUAAGAAAUGAAGACGAAUGAUGACCUGCAGAUUAAAAACCAUGAUGAGUGGACACAGCCUCCUGCAGGUGAAGCUUGAACUUUUUUAAGAGAAUCACUUAUCAGCUUCUUUUUCUACAUGCUGACUCUGCCUCCAUGACAGUAUGCCACUAUCAGACUGCAAAUAUGGGAGCAACACCCAAACAGACCCCACCUACAGCCUCCACAGCUUGCCCAUGGCUGAAAUCUAUGGGAAAAGGCCCGUCAGGACGUUUUUUGACUUCAGGCAGACAAACCUGCCUGAAAAUCCGGAUGUCAAGUGGGCUCCUCUGUUGUCACUGACUAACCUGCGAAGCUUCUCAAAAGUCAAAGUGGUGAGCUUCCUUCUGGGCUUGACGUUGACAUUCCUCAUCGUGGCUUCUUAUAUCCUGACAUGGGACAUGAAAGGACUUCUGUUCACCCCCCCGCCCUAUCAGCUCAGACCUGUGGUCAUCCCAACCAGCACAGCGGCAGCUGAUGUUUCUUCUGAAAAGAAUUUAAUACACAUGAAACUGCUGGUGAAGAUAAUCGGCUCCAAGCUAGAAUAUACAUCCAGGAAGGUCCCUGAUGAAAAGGACAUCAUUGGAACCGACUCCCAUCUGUUCACUGCAAUUCCUCGCCAGUUCCUGCCUGGCAUCAAGAGCCCCUGCUGGUAUGAAGAGUUCACCAGUAAACUCAGCACUGAUCUGUACAAGAGGAACCUCUUCACUGUGCGCUCAAAGAGCUUCAAGACUGUGUGCGACCACCUGAGGACCAACUUCCAUCAGUAUUUAAUCCACAGAGACGGCAAAUGGUUUCGUCUGCGCUGCCUGCCGUACUUCUACAUCAUCGGUCAACCAAAGUGUGGCACAACGGACUUAUUUCACAGACUGCUGCUGCACCCAGAGGUCAAGUUCAACACCAUGAAGGAGCCCCAUUGGUGGACCAGGAAACGCUUUGGUUAUAUCCGUUUCAAAGAUGGCUUCCAGGAAAGUUUUCCUGUGGAAGACUACCUGGAUCUGUUUGACUUGGCAGCACACAACAUCCAAGGAAGAAUCAGUGGAAAUUCAUCUGGAGACCACAGCACACUCCAGUUCAUAACAGGUGAAGCCAGUGCAUCCACUAUGUGGGACAAUCAAGCCUGGAGCUAUAUCAAUGGAGACCUGGAGGAGACAGAACCCCCGUUCCUGACCCAGGACUUUAUCCACACAGUCCAGCCAAGUGCCAAAAUCAUCAUCAUGCUUAGAGAUCCAGUAGAGAGGCUUUACUCUGACUACCUGUACUUCAAAAUGGCCAACAAGUCAGCAGAGGACUUCCAUCAAAAGGUCAUAGAGUCCAUACAGUUGUUUCAGUCCUGCCUUUCGGAGAGAUCUCUUCGUUCCUGCGUCUACAACACCAACCUCUCCAACGCAAUGCCGGUGCGGCUAAAUCUGGGGAUGUACAUUGUCUUCUUACUGGACUGGCUGACAGUUUUCCACAGAGAGCAGAUUCUAGUUCUUCGACUGGAGGACUACGCAGCCAACCUGAAAGUGACAAUCAAAAAAGUUUUUGAUUAUCUGAGUGUAGGUCCUUUGUCGGAGCAGGUGGAGGCAGCACUGACCAAACGGCCGAUGUCUAACACCCGGCGUGCAGCAGACAGGAACCUUGGUCCUAUGCUUCCAGCCACCAGAGAUCUCCUCAGGGAAUUUCAUCAGCCCUUCAACCAUAAACUGGCCAGUGUGCUGGAAAACAAGGCCUUCCUCUGGAGUGACACCUGAAGUAGCACAAGCACAGAAGAAACCAGAGAAAGAACUAAAGCAGGGAUUACCGACAAAAAAAUAUCUACAGUGGGAGAACUCUUACACAGGUCAACAUCCAAACCUCUGAUUGCUCCAUGCAGACAUGCUGUCACUGAGAAACCAAAUAUAAUUGAACCCAAGGGAUGGGAUCCAGGAGAGAGAAGGAUUGUAAGAGGCAGACUGACCAGGUGAGAUGAAUUUCCCUGAUGAUCUGACUCAGCCCUCCCAGCUCCAGACUGAACCCCACAAUCAAAUCCCUGCAGGUGAUUAUAAUAAUUAUAUAUAUUUACAAUCAUUCCCAAAUAUUUACAUAGAAAAUUGCAUAGAUAGAAAAUAUAAAUCAAAAGAGCGCAAUGCGAAAAUGCCCUUCUUGUAUGCCACAGUAUACCAAAUAUAUCCACAUGUGUAUACACACAAAACAUCAGCCUAUGUCUGAUAUGGAUAAAAUGUUGCAAUGUUGCACAUGUGCUGAAUAAAGAUUGUGCAUCCUUACUUUGAACUGACACCUCAAGCAAGAAAUGUUCAUCUCUGAAUAAUUCACAAGUCAUUUUCACAAAACAGAUUAAAUUAAUUUUUUGGCCCCAGACGCUCAUAUGCAUUUCAUGACUUCUUAUUUUGAGUGCUAUUAUAUGAUGUCAUAUGUUCUUUUAUUCAAGCAUUGCCCUUGCACGUCAAGAGCAACACAGAAUGUGAGAAAUAUUCAGAAUUACUUUGAUUUUACUUCUGCAGAAAUGCAAUGCAAAGCAGCACUGUGAUACUGUGAAAUAAAACUCAUUUAGCUUCAUCCUCAAAACUGUAUGUGAUGUAAUGAACUGUCUCCACAUCUCUUGUCUUGGGGACAAAUUCAGUUUCAGUUUAAAUAGAAUUACUGUCUCAUUAUGUUGUCAGAGUUACUCAUGUAAACACUUUUUCUGCAGUUGUGUCAUUAGACCUACUCACUGUCAUUUGAGAAAAUUACAUCCCUUAAAGUAACAAUCUCGAACAUCUCCGUUUUGCUCUCUUUGGCAGCACCUAUGGCGAUAAGCAGUAAUUACA